GAUUAAAGCAGCAAUGCGCUUGGGGAUGGGCUCGCGGCCUAUUAGUUAGUUGGUGAGGUAACGGCUCACCAAGGCGAUGACGGGUAGCCGGUCUGAGAGGAUGUCCGGCCACACUGGAACUGAGACACGGUCCAGACACCUACGGGUGGCAGCAGUCGAGAAUCAUUCACAAUGGGGGAAACCCUGAUGGUGCGACGCCGCGUGGGGGAAUGAAGGUCUUCGGAUUGUAAACCCCUGUCAUGUGGGAGCAAAUUAAAAAGAUAGUACCACAAGAGGAAGAGACGGCUAACUCUGUGCCAGCAGCCGCGGUAAUACAGAGGUCUCAAGCGUUGUUCGGAAUCACUGGGCGUAAAGCGUGCGUAGGCUGUUUCGUAAGUCGUGUGUGAAAGGCGCGGGCUCAACCCGCGGACGGCACAUGAUACUGCGAGACUAGAGUAAUGGAGGGGGAACCGGAAUUCUCGGUGUAGCAGUGAAAUGCGUAGAUAUCGAGAGGAACACUCGUGGCGAAGGCGGGUUCCUGGACAUUAACUGACGCUGAGGCACGAAGGCCAGGGGAGCGAAAGGGAUUAGAUACCCCUGUAGUCCUGGCAGUAAACGGUGCACGCUUGGUGUGCGGGGAAUCGACCCCCUGCGUGCCGGAGCUAACGCGUUAAGCGUGCCGCCUGGGGAGUACGGUCGCAAGAUUAAAACUCAAAGAAAUUGACGGGGACCCGCACAAGCGGUGGAGUAUGUGGCUUAAUUCGAUGCAACGCGAAGAACCUUACCUGGGCUUGACAUGUAAUGAACAACAUGUGAAAGCAUGCGACUCUUCGGAGGCGUUACACAGGUGCUGCAUGGCCGUCGUCAGCUCGUGUCGUGAGAUGUUUGGUUAAGUCCAGCAACGAGCGCAACCCCUGUUGCCAGUUACCAGCACGUGAAGGUGGGGACUCUGGCGAGACUGCCCAGAUCAACUGGGAGGAAGGUGGGGACGACGUCAGGUCAGUAUGGCCCUUAUGCCCAGGGCUGCACACGUACUACAAUGCCCAGUACAGAGGGGGCCGAAGCCGCGAGGCGGAGGAAAUCCUAAAAACUGGGCCCAGUUCGGACUGUAGGCUGCAACCCGCCUACACGAAGCCGGAAUCGCUAGUAAUGGCGCAUCAGCUACGGCGCCGUGAAUACGUUCCCGGGUCUUGCACACACCGCCCGUCA
rnacentral:rRNA from 1 species